rnacentral:rRNA from 1 species
GGUUCGAUCCUGGCUCAGUUGAACGCUGGCGGGAUGCUUUACACAUGCAAGUCGAACGGCAGCACGGACUUCGGUCUGGUGGUGAGUGGCGAACAGGUAAGAGUAAUGUGUCGGAACGUGCCUGGCAGGGAUGCUACGCGAAAGCGUAGCUGUACCGCACGCCCUUCGAGGAAAGCGGGGGACCUUCGGGCCUCGCACUAUUAGAGCGGCCGAUAUCGGAUUAGCUAGUUGGUGGGGUAGCGACUCACCGGAGAGCGGCGACGAUGCAUCGCUGGUUUGGGGAGACGACCAGCCACUGGGACUGAGACCUGGCCCAGACUCCUACAGGGAGGCAGCAGUGGGGAAUUUUUGGACAAUGGGGGAAACUGGUCGACAUCCGCGUGUGCGAUGAAGGCUAUUCAGGUUGUAAACGCCUUGGCAGGAAAGAAACGGCACGGGAUAAUACCCGUGCAACUGACGACACCUGCAGAAUAAGCACCGGCUAACUACGUGCCAGCAGCCGCGGUAACCGGCAGGGUCUGCAGCGAUAAUCGGAAUUACUGGGCGUAAAGCGUGCGCGAGCGGUUCCGGAAAGAAAGAUGUGAAAUCCCAGAGCUUUUUUCUUUGGAACUGCAUUUUUAACACCGACUGAAAUUGUCAGGGAGGUGGAAUUCCGCGUGUAGCAGUGAAAUGCGUAGAUAUGCGGAGGAACACCCGAUGGCGAGCAACCUCCUGGGAUAACACUGACGCUCAUGCACAGCGAAAGCGUGAGGGGAGCAAACAGGAUUAGAUACCCUGGUAGUCACGCCCUAAACGAUGUCAACUAGCUUUAUUUGGGACGCUGGGCCUUGGUAGCGCAACUAACGCGUGAAGUUGACCGCCUGGGAGUACGGUCGCGUUAAAACUCCAAGGAAUUGACGGGGACCCGCACAAGCGGUGGAUGAUGCGGAUUAAUUCAGUGCAACGCAGAAAACCUUACCACCCUUGACAUGUCUGGAAUCCGGAAAAGUUGGGUGCUCGCAAGAGAACCGGAACACAGGUGCCUGCAUGGCUGUCGUCAGCUCGUGUGUUGAGGUCUUGGGUUCACAGUCCGCAACGAGCGCAACUAUGUCAUUAGUUGCUACGAAGAGAGGCACUCUAAUGAGACUGCCGGUGACAAACCGGAGGAGGAGGUGGGGAUGACGUCAAGUCCUCAUGGCCCUUAUGGGUAGGGCUUCACACGUCAUCCACAAUGGUCGGGACAGAGGUCGCCAACCCGCGAGGGAGCCAAUCCCAGAAACCCGAUCGUAGUCCGGAUCGCAGUCUGCAACUCGACUGCGUGAAGUCGGAAUCGCUAGUAAUCGCGGAUCAGCAUGUCGCGGUGAAUACAGUUCCGGGUCUUGUACACACGCCCCGUCACACCAUGGGAGUGGGUUUACCAAGUAGUUAGCUAACCGUAAGGAGGCGAUUACCACAUUGGGAUUCAUGACUGGGGUGAAGUCGUAACAAGGUAA